UUUGUAACUUGUCAAUAUGUCGGCCGCCCAUGUAUCUUGAGUCUGAUGUACAUUGCAUAUGAUCACAUAGAAUGCAUUUAUAGCUGCACAGGAAAAUAUCCAUAACACAAGUUCAUAUGCAGAAAAUGGUCUACCUUGAUUACAAUGCUACAACACCUCUAGCUCCUGAAGUCAUUGAUGUGAUAACUGAAUCAUUGAGAGAAGCAUGGGGUAAUCCUUCAAGUUCUCAUGAGCUAGGCUAUAAAGCAAAAGAGGUUCUAUCUUUAGCAAGAACCCAAGUUGCUAACAUGAUUGGGGCAAAUAUCUCAGGUAACA
rnacentral:sRNA from 1 species